rnacentral:rRNA from 1 species
UACGUAGGUGGCAAGCGUUGUCCGGAUUUAUUGGGUUUAAAGGGUGCAUAGGCGGUCUGUUAAGUCAGUGGUGAAAUACGGCAGCUUAACUGUCGAGGUGCCAAUGAUACUGGCGGACUUGAGUACAGACGAGGUAGGCGGAAUUGACGGUGUAGCGGUGAAAUGCAUAGAUAUCGUCAAGAACACCGAUAGCGAAGGCAGCUUACUAGAGUGUAACUGACGCUGAGGCACGAAAGUGUGGGGAUCAAACAGG